rnacentral:lncRNA from 1 species
CCGUGCGCUCGGGCCCAUCCCGUCACCGCCCAUUGGACCUGGGUCCGCUCAGGGGCGCCGGCCUGGCGGCGGUUCCGAGUCGGGCGCGUGCCGGCAGGGUUCCCAUUGCCAGCGGCGCAGCCAGACUAGGGGCUGCCCUCCGCCUUCUCGCCAUGGACGCGGACGACUCCCGGGCCCCCAAGGGCUCCUUGCGGAAGUUCCUGGAGCACCUCUUCGGGGCCCGCAAGGCCAUCGGCGUGCUGACCAGCGGCGGGGAUGCUCAAGGACGCAAGGAUUGAGAACAAUGGACUUUUUGAUGUGUGUUGCAACAAACUCAUAGCCGAGGGCUGUAAAUCGGAGGGAUCACCAGGUCUGCCUACCAGCCACGAGGGAAGUGGUGAGAAGCUGUCACCCCAACUUGAGUUUCAAGAAGACUCCUUGGAAGAAGAGACCACCAAAUUGAGAAUGAAAAGAUCAUACACGGGGGUCGUCAGACAUGGUCUGAGACCUGCUGGGAAGAACAGUAGCCCUGCUACCCCCUGGCUUCUGCUCACAGCACUGACCCCAGCUAAUCCAAGAACAUGUCACCUAUAA